AAGGUACUCCCUCCGUUCCGAAUUAUUCGUUGCAGUCGCAGAAAUAGAUGUAUCUAGAUGUAUUUUAGUUCUAGAGACAUCCAUUUCUGCGACGAGUAAUUUGAAACGGAGGGAGUAGUAC
rfam:Triticum urartu cultivar G1812 contig562366, whole genome shotgun sequence.